GAUGAACGCUGGCGACGUGCCUAAUACAUGCAAGUCGAGCGAACGGACGAGAAGCUUGCUUCUCUGAUGUUAGCGGCGGACGGGUGAGUAACACGUGGAUAACCUACCUAUAAGACUGGGAUAACUUCGGGAAACCGGAGCUAAUACCGGAUAAUAUUUUGAACCGCAUGGUUCAAAAGUGAAAGACGGUCUUGCUGUCACUUAUAGAUGGAUCCGCGCUGCAUUAGCUAGUUGGUAAGGUAACGGCUUACCAAGGCAACGAUGCAUAGCCGACCUGAGAGGGGGAUCGGCCACACUGGAACUGAGACACGGUCCAGACUCCUACGGGAGGCAGCAGUAGGGAAUCUUCCGCAAUGGGCGAAAGCCUGACGGAGCAACGCCGCGUGAGUGAUGAAGGUCUUCGGAUCGUAAAACGCUGUUAUUAGGGAAGAACAUAUGUGUAAGUAACUGUGCACAUCUUGACGGUACCUAAUCAGAAAGCCACGGCUAACUACGU
rnacentral:rRNA from 1 species